GAGGUGCGGAGGAAAUCUGGAAGACCCUUUUACUCGACCCGACUUCAGAGUUGAAAGGUCGUCUAUAUCGAGUUGGCUGGCAAAUUUGAGGAAGGAGCUGAACGGUGAUAUUUUUUGUUGGCAAUAGUUCUAAUCUGGAAGAUAUGGGAACGACGAAAUAAGGAAAUUAAGGAAGAGAAGGUGAUGCAACCUCAAGAUCUUGUGGGCUGGUGCAAGGAUUACUUGGCUAUGUUUCGAAACUCGCAGUUUUGCCGCAAUUCCAGAAUGGGACAUAUGCAUC
rnacentral:lncRNA from 1 species